CCUGCAAGCACUCUCAGCCCUUCUUUGUUUAUAGAACAUUUGUUUCUUCAUAUGCAAAACUAUCCAGAUUUCAUUACAAAAUAAUCUGCUAGUCAUCAUGAAGGAAGUAUAUCUUUCAGAAAGGGUCAUGAGUUCAGUGGGAUCAGCAAAGCUUUGGGUGUAACUGAGGAUGAGAUUUUUACAUG